UGGGGAAUUUUGGACAAUGGGCGAAAGCCUGAUCCAGCAAUGCCGCGUGUGUGAAGAAGGCCUUCGGGUUGUAAAGCACUUUUGUCCGGAAAGAAAUCCUUGGCUCUAAUACAGUCGGGGGAUGACGGUACCGGAAGAAUAAGCACCGGCUAACUACGUGCCAGCAGCCGCGGUAAUACGUAGGGUGCAAGCGUUAAUCGGAAUUACUGGGCGUAAAGCGUGCGCAGGCGGUCCGCUAAGACAGAUGUGAAAUCCCCGGGCUUAACCUGGGAACUGCAUUUGUGACUGGCGGGCUAGAGUAUGGCAGAGGGGGGUAGAAUUCCACGUGUAGCAGUGAAAUGCGUAGAGAUGUGGAGGAAUACCGAUGGCGAAGGCAGCCCCCUGGGCCAAUACUGACGCUCAUGCACGAAAAGCGUGGGGGAGCAAACAGGAUUAGAUACCCUGGUAGUCCACGCCCUAAACGAUGUCAACUAGUUGUCGGGUCUUCAUUGACUUGGUAACGUAGCUAACGCGUGAAGUUGACCGCCUGGGGAGUAACGGUCGCAAGAUUAAAAACUUAAAUGAAUUNA
rnacentral:rRNA from 1 species